ACGAGUUAUCUGAACCUUCGGGGGACGAUAACGGCGUCGAGCGGCGGACGGGUGAGUAAUGCCUAGGAAAUUGCCCUGAUGUGGGGGAUAACCAUUGGAAACGAUGGCUAAUACCGCAUGAUGCCUACGGGCCAAAGAGGGGGACCUUCGGGCCUCUCGCGUCAGGAUAUGCCUAGGUGGGAUUAGCUAGUUGGUGAGGUAAGGGCUCACCAAGGCGACGAUCCCUAGCUGGUCUGAGAGGAUGAUCAGCCACACUGGAACUGAGACACGGUCCAGACUCCUACGGGAGGCAGCAGUGGGGAAUAUUGCACAAUGGGCGCAAGCCUGAUGCAGCCAUGCCGCGUGUGUGAAGAAGGCCUUCGGGUUGUAAAGCACUUUCAGUCGUGAGGAAGGUAGUGUAGUUAAUAGCUGCAUUAUUUGACGUUAGCGACAGAAGAAGCACCGGCUAACUCCGUGCCAGCAGCCGCGGUAAUACGGAGGGUGCGAGCGUUAAUCGGAAUUACUGGGCGUAAAGCGCAUGCAGGUGGUUUGUUAAGUCAGAUGUGAAAGCCCGGGGCUCAACCUCGGAAUUGCAUUUGAAACUGGCAGACUAGAGUACUGUAGAGGGGGGUAGAAUUUCAGGUGUAGCGGUGAAAUGCGUAGAGAUCUGAAGGAAUACCGGUGGCGAAGGCGGCCCCCUGGACAGAUACUGACACUCAGAUGCGAAAGCGUGGGGAGCAAACAGGAUUAGAUACCCUGGUAGUCCACGCCGUAAACGAUGUCUACUUGGAGGUUGUGGCCUUGAGCCGUGGCUUUCGGAGCUAACGCGUUAAGUAGACCGCCUGGGGAGUACGGUCGCAAGAUUAAAACUCAAAUGAAUUGACGGGGGCCCGCACAAGCGGUGGAGCAUGUGGUUUAAUUCGAUGCAACGCGAAGAACCUUACCUACUCUUGACAUCCAGAGAACUUUCCAGAGAUGGAUUGGUGCCUUCGGGAACUCUGAGACAGGUGCUGCAUGGCUGUCGUCAGCUCGUGUUGUGAAAUGUUGGGUUAAGUCCCGCAACGAGCGCAACCCUUAUCCUUGUUUGCCAGCGAGUAAUGUCGGGAACUCCAGGGAGACUGCCGGUGAUAAACCGGAGGAAGGUGGGGACGACGUCAAGUCAUCAUGGCCCUUACGAGUAGGGCUACACACGUGCUACAAUGGCGCAUACAGAGGGCAGCCAACUUGCGAAAGUGAGCGAAUCCCAAAAAGUGCGUCGUAGUCCGGAUUGGAGUCUGCAACUCGACUCCAUGAAGUCGGAAUCGCUAGUAAUC
rnacentral:rRNA from 1 species